rnacentral:lncRNA from 1 species
AGAGGAGGGAGGUUGCCGGGCGCGUCGCGCUCGACCAAUCACAGGCCGCGCAACGGACCGAACCGUGGUACUACUCGGAGCUCCUCGGCUCCCCUCGGUACCCCUCGGUACCCCUCGGCUCAGGCUAACUUCGCGGUGAUCGGUUCAGUCACACUUCCGCUACCGUCCGGGUACGAUGUCGUUCGUGCCUCGGCUCCGGUUCAAAGUUUCGUAUUUUUUUUUUUUGAAAAUAUCCGAGUGAUAUCGUCUCGAGUAGUGUUGUCUGUGCAUCCUUGAUUACAUUCCUCGUCAUUAUCUUUUUAUCUCCGGUGAAUGCAUAGUGUUUCUACGAUUCUGUGUUAUCAAAGGAAACAUUCUGAUGGAAAAAAUUACUGAACAUCUUCGAUUUCCAAUCGAAAAACAUUGAUAAACUCGAUUAAAAUCUGAUAUCUCACCCAACGAUUAAUAAAAAUCAUCAGUGGGGGUUGGACUGUGAAUAGAA